CGGGGCCUACGGGAGGCAGCAGUGAGGAAUAUUGGUCAAUGGACGGAAGUCUGAACCAGCCAUGCCGCGUGCAGGAAGACGGCUCUAUGGAUUGUAAACCUCUUUUGUCGGGGAGCAAAAGACGCCACGCGUGGCGUUCCGAGAGUACCCGAAGAAAAAGCAUCGGCUAACUCCGUGCCAGCAGCCGCGGUAAUACGGAGGAUGCGAGCGUUAUCCGGAUUUAUUGGGUUUAAAGGGUGCGCAGGCGGAAGAUCAAGUCAGCGGUAAAAUUGAGAGGCUCAACCUCUUCGAGCCGUUGAAACUGG
rnacentral:rRNA from 1 species